UUCUGACGGCACCCAUUCACUGCAGAGGAUACAUUGACUGGAGAGGAAGAUGCAGUGCUUUAUUCAACCAUCAACUUCAUGCAACCCCCCUCACAACCACCCGGAAACAGUGAAGAAUCAAUGCCAACUGAGGUUGAACUGAAUCAUUUGUAUUACACCAUCCUCACCAAACCGGCCAUCUCCAGUGACAGCAGGAGAGUUUACAGUCAGCU